rnacentral:rRNA from 1 species
UGAGGAAUUUUGCGCAAUGGGGGAAACCCUGACGCAGCGACGCCGCGUGGAGGACGAAGGCCUUCGGGUCGUAAACUCCUGUCAGAGGUGAAGAAUGCCCGCAAGGGCUUGACGGUAACCUCAGAGGAAGCCCCGGCUAACUACGUGCCAGCAGCCGCGGUAAUACGUAGGGGGCAAACGUUACUCGGAAUUACUGGGCGUAAAGGGUGCGUAGGCGGCUGGGAAAGUCAAGGAUGAAAUCCCGUGGCUCAACUGCGGAACGGUCCUUGAAACUACUCGGCUUGAGGAUAACCGAAGAGAACGGAAUUCCCGGUGGAGCGGUGAAAUGCGUAGAUAUCGGGAGGAACACCUGAGGCGAAAGCGGUUCUCUAGACUACUCCUGACGCUGAGGCACGAAAGCUAGGGGAGCAAACGG